UGGGGAAUAUUGCACAAUGGGGGAAACCCUGAUGCAGCGACGCCGCGUGAACGAAGAAGGUAUUCGUAUCGUAAAGUUCUUUCCUAUGGGAAGAUAAUGACAGUACCAUAGAAGAAAGCUCCGGCUAAAUACGUGCCAGCAGCCGCGGUAAUACGUAUGGAGCGAGCGUUGUCCGGAAUUAUUGGGCGUAAAGGGUACGCAGGCGGUUUAAUAAGUCGAAUGUUAAAGAUCGGGGCUCAACCCCGUAAAGCAUUGGAAACUGAUAAACUUGAGUAGUGGAGAGGAAAGUGGAAUUCCUAGUGUAGUGGUGAAAUACGUAGAUAUUAGGAGGAAUACCAGUAGCGAAGGCGACUUUCUGGACACAAACUGACGCUGAGGUACGAAAGCGUGGGGAGCAAACAGG
rnacentral:rRNA from 1 species